rnacentral:rRNA from 1 species
UACGUAGGGUGCAAGCGUUGUCCGGAAUUAUUGGGCGUAAAGAGCUCGUAGGCGGCCUGUCGCGUCGACUGUGAAAACCCAGGGCUCAACCCUGGGCCUGCAGUCGAUACGGGCAGGCUAGAGUGCAGUAGGGGAGACUGGAAUUCCUGGUGUAGCGGUGAAAUGCGCAGAUAUCAGGAGGAACACCGGUGGCGAAGGCGGAUCUCUGGGCCUGUCCUGACGCUCAGGCGCGAAAGCUAGGGGAGCAAACAGG